UCGUUUUUCCCAAAAUUAAAAAUUCACUUUUACACUAAACAUGUCUUUGAAUGUUAAAAAUAUAUUUUCUAUCAAUUAUAUACACGUAAUUAUUGAUGUUGUUUAGUUAAUCAAUAAGAGAAAAUGGUUUUUAUGUACUUCACUUCAAUGAAAAUGGCAAGGUUAUGUUCGAAAUUAUGGCAUCACUGUUUUAAAUUCGAAUAGGCACUAUUGAUUCAUGCACUGAUCGUUUUGGAAUUAUCAAUAUUCUCAAUAUUCGGGUCUGAAAAAGAAUUGAAAGAAGAAGAAGUUGGACACAGAAGAAUUAUGAACACCGGGGUUUUGGACCGAGCAGGGAUAUUUUUCUCGAGCGCUCGUCUUAAAAGAGAAUUGAAAGAAGCGCCCGAUACGAGUAUAUUCGUAAAUUGGAAUUAAAAACACGAAUUUUAAGACAGUUACCGUGAAAAUUGGUGCACGUUUUCGGAAAAGCCGCUCUCCUGAAUAUUUGCCAAACCUUGUUUUAACCGAAACUUAACAUACUGAUGGCUGUUAACGAGAUAUUGCGUCCAAUAAAUGUAGGAUUUUAUUUUAGAAAUAGCUCUUCGAUGGCUGAUUCCUCCAGCAGUUCGAGUAAAUGUGGUAUUCCUUUCAAUCGCAUCUCAAGUCCAGUCAUAAUUCUAAAAGGUGAUUGUCUGGUGCUUCUUGGUGGUGUGCUGUUGAUUAUUUGUUGCACACUUUCCACGCGCUUGUACCAGUUUCCAGAACUCUCGUUUCCCAACUAAGCUAUCAUCCGAAUAAUAAUCUGGUGCAUGCGCUCUACUUGCCCGUUUGCUCGUAGCACUCCCGUAGCGAUUAAUAAAUGCUGGAUUUCCUUAUCCUCGCAGUACUGUUUAAACAAAUUCAACGUAAAGGCCGCGCCUGUGUCUGUUAUGACACGUCUUGGAUUUCCGAAAACGGCUGCUCUUUGCUUUAAGCAUUCGACGACUGUAUCAGCUCCUGUGUUCUUAGUUGGAUAUAGCCAAACGAACUUGGAGAAUGCGUCCACUAUCACAAGGAUGUAGUUAUAUGCCUUUUUUGUCGACUCCAGCGGCCCAACGUGAUCGAGAUGUAGUGUUCCCAAAGGCUUGUCCUCUUUACUAAUGAGAUUUAGGAAACCUUCUUUCUUUCCUGACUUCGUAUCGUUGACGAUGCACUCUACGCAACUUCUUAUAACCUUUGUCGCCUUCCUAUUUAAAUUUGGUAUAUAAAAUGUUUUCUCUACUGCUUCUUCCGUUUUCUUGAUGGAAAAGUGUCCUUGCCUAUGUGCCAUGUUGAUGAUUUCGUUUUCCAUAACCGAUGGAGCUGCCAGGAGUUCUCUUACUGAAUCCUUAUACAGUACUCCAUGUUUGAUAUAAAAGUCUUCCUAGUCGCUCUUCUCCAGGACCUUCAACACAGCUCGUACCCAAUCGUCCUCUUCCUGUGCUUGCUUCAGCCGGUGGAUUAGGGAAUCUUCUAUAAUGAAACAAGAUGCCCUACUUAACGCAUCUACAUGUCGCAUUUUUGAAACGUUUCUAUGUUCUAUCUCGUAGCAAAAGUCUUGUAAGGAACAUUGCCCAACGAGAUACUCUUAAUGGCACAUCUCGUUUCCGCAUCGUCAUUGCGAAUGCAUUACAAUCUGUUACUAUCUUAAAACUUAUCCCCAAGAAAUAUUCUCUCCACUUCUUAAGUGCUUCUAUAACCGCUGGUACCUCGAGUUCGUACGAAUGGUACUUUUCCUCUGCUGGUUUUGUCUCCCGACUCAUGUAUUGAUCUGGAUGGAACGCUUGAUGGUCGAAAUCCUUCUGAAGUAGCACUACUCCGUACCCGGACAUACAAGCGUCUGUAUGUACCUCAGUCACUGUUUUCGGAUUGUAUAACAUUAGGACUGGUGCGCUGAUCAAUGCUGACUUCAACUUCUGGAAUGCCUCCAACUGCUUGUCGCGCAACUCGAACUUAGCCUCUUUCCUGAGUAGACAGCGGUUUAGCUAUUACAGCAUAUCCAUCGAAAAAUCUUCUAAAGUAUGAUGUCAAUCCCAAGAAUCUCUGCAAAGCCUUCUGGUCAUGUGGCAGUGGGAAAUACCUAAUCGCUUUCGUUUUUGCAUCAGAUGGUUUUAUCGAACCGUUUUCUAUUACAUAGCCUAGAAAGUCUAUUUUACUUAUAAAAAACUGACAUUUCUCCCAUUUCAUCCGCAAACCAUAUUCUUCAGCUUUUCGUAGAACUCGUUCUAAACUGUGUACGCCUUCAGUGUAAUCCUUGGAGGGAAUAACUAAAUCGUCCAUGUAAGCCUCCACAGUAUCGUCUUGUAUAAGAUCUCUAUAUACUGCUGAAAUAAAUCUUGAAAAAACUGCCGGCGAAUUCGAUAUACCAAAAGGCACGUAUUGGAAUUCAUAUUGCCCGUUGUAUCUAACGAAUGCGGUGUACUUCCUUGAGAAAGGCUCCACUGGGACAUGAAAAAAUCCAUUCCUAAGAUCCAGUGUCGUAAAAACAUUAGCACCCUAGAACUUUUCGAUAACAUCGUCGAUAUUUGGCAUCGCGAAGUUAUCGCGAACUAUCUUUGUGUUUAAUCGCCGAUAAUCGCAACACAAACGUUUCUUUCCAUCUUUCUUCGAAACUAACACCACUGGUGACGCAUAAUUUGAAUUACUGGGUUUGAUGAUCCCGUCCUUCAACCACUCCUUAACUUGUUCAUCCACAUCCUGUCUAUCGGUGUAUGACAUCUGUCUGGGAUUUUCAUAUACUGGGGUGUCAUCUGAAAGUAAGAUCUUCAUCUCUACUGGCGAAUUCGAAUUGCUUGUAGGCUUAUAAUGCGCUACCAUUCUUCUUACUAUAGUUACUUGCUCUUUGUUGAGGUGUGAAAGAUCGACUUCGCCCACAGGUACCUUCUCCAUUCCUGUGACCAUACACAGGAUUCCAAACUCUUCGCUCAGUUCAUCAAUCCUGUUAUCACCUUCAUCAAUUGGGUUGUUCCUAGCAUCAGUACCCAUCUCCGCAGUCUCAUGAACCAACUUCGAACUCGCUUCCGAAAUCCUGAACUCUCUCGGCUCCUUAGCCACAACAGCGCCCUCGCUCUCAUUGUUUGCUACCUCCAAAGCCCUUCUAUCACGGAUUUUCCUGCGACACUUCCUAACGGCUUCCAUAUACUGCUCCUCAUCUUCAUGCACCCUUGUGCCCACGUUUAAUUUCACAUGAAACUUCUUAGGCUUCGCUGACCCAACACUGCGAUCUUUCAUUACUGCUCCAGUAUUCACCUCCUCCUUGCUCUGAGGCUUUUCCUCCACUUUCUUUUGCCUGAACUCGGCGCCAUCUUCCGUAACGAAUAAACAAACUUGUCUCAGAACGUCGUUAACAAUCGCGAGCGCAUAUUUGAUGUCCCGCUCUCUCACUACGUGAAAUUUUACUUCCAACUUUAUGUUGUCUAUCUCGAUGGAUGUGGUAAAGCAACCUAUUGUUGUAAGUUUGCUGGUACCGAUACGCAUCAACUGUCGCUGUUCACUACUUAAGUCAACAUCCGGACUAAGUGUGUUUAACGUAUCGUAACGUAUAUUGCAUAAGUCGCUACCUGUCUCAAUUAAUGCCGACGCAGAUUUUCCGUUGAAACUUGCAUGCUUAAAAAAUCAAUCCACUCCGCUUCUCCGAUUUCUCCUUCAUCCGUCAUAUUAUUGACGCUGCUUUAUUCCGAUUUCGGAGUUUUCCUUCCUGCCUUACAGUAAGCUGCACGAUGACCCUCUUUACCGCAAUUGUAACACGAUGUCUUAUUGCGUGGACAGCUUCUAGCGAGAUGUGAUGAAUUCCCGCAGACAAAACAUUUCCUGCUAAAUGGAACUGCUUUCUGGAAAUCCUUGUUUGACGACGAUGCCUUCUCCUGGUUCCCAUUCACGGGUUGUGACUGGCUGUAACGAAUCUUUUCGUACAUCUUGAUCUGCUCCUUCAAAUCCUGUAUAGUUUUCUCCUGGUAUAGGUUACUUUUGUUCGACCUUGAGUCCGGUAUGCCUUCGAUGAAAUAUUCUAUUAGGCUUGAGUCAUCUAGCCCUAACGGUUUCUCCAACUCCAUUAAAACGUAUAAAUAUUCUCGAAGAUCUUCCCCAUGUCGCUUCCGACGACUACAUAAAGUACGGUGUACUUCAAUCGAUAAUAAUGCCAUACCAAAUUCCUGCCGUAGCGCUAGUUUUAGUGAACUCCAACUGCUUAUUCCUCUUUGGCUUCUUAUAAAAAUCUUUGCCGCACCCUUCAACAGUUGUUUUGCGUAGAUGAAUUUCUGCAGCUCGUUCCAAUGCACUGCUGAUGCGUUUGCCUCAAAAUCCUCAAGCCAUUGUUCGAAACUUGGACGACCUGUUCCCUUAAACGAAGUCAUUGAGUCCUCAACAUCUCGGAGAGUAAAGUUGUGGUAUUCGACUCUAACCUCACGCACACUUCGUUGGCUUGCUACCUCUUCCACAUCAGUUUCGGAACCGUCACUCACAGUCAGGCAGAAAUGCUCCAUCAGUCUGUCUUGUAGUGUCGCUUUCCGUCCAAUAGGCGAUAGCCCUAAAUCACCUAACCUUUCCUUCAGACCGUCAACAGUCAGCUCAAAAAUUUCUUUGCGGUUCAUAAUUUACAAUGUUGUACAAAAAAUCGAUAAUAUUCUAAAAAUCUUAAUUUCAAUAAUAGUAUUUCCUUUUAGCUUGCGUUACAAUAUUCGCUUUUUCUGCACACAAUUCUGAUAACUCUUAUGUUAUUCGAUUCGAUCACAAUAUCCGCGUUUACAAUUUCCGUGACAAUUUUAAUAACUUGUUUGUUAAACGAAUUUUAUUACAAUAUUCGUUUUAAUCUUUCGCAUACAGUUUCCGAAGUAAAAUAUUUUCUAUAACUCGAAUUUUAUUACAAUAUCCGCAUAUCCGCAUUUAACUUUCUUAUAUUCUUAUAUAUCUCACGUAAGAAUUUUUUUUUUAAAAGUAUUUUCAUUAAUAAAAGUUCGUUGCGAUAUUCGCCAUAAAGUUUCACAAAAUUUACACAAAAAUAUUCGAUAACUUAUUUUACUCGUACGUUAUUCAAAAAUGUACAAUUGUAUAUCAAAAGACUGUUUCUCCAUUGAAAUGUAACGCCACCUCCAACGAUGAACUGUACUUUACCGUACGCACUUUAUAUACCCGUCGUUACUGCUGCUGUUACUGACGCUGAUGCUGCUGCUACUGCUACUACUGCUGGUGCUGUUACUGCUACUGCGUCUUCGCCGACGCUGCGCCUUGUUGCUAGCGCUCCUUUCGCCAGCUAGGCUUUGCCACUCGUCCGUUAUGCAGUUUGGAUACCGCGACCCUUUCCCCAGCUCCUUACCAGGCCCAACAACUUCAACACAGUCGCUACUCGCUGCAACAACAACAACGUCAACAGAAAAAGCUCCACUCACACCGAGGAGAAAAAGUAGGAGUGACGAAAAGUUGGAGUUACUUCAACAAAACAUGAAGUAGCAACUUAAGCUUUUCAAAAAGGCAUAGACCAGAAGCUUGAGAGGUUAGUAGCAGCACAAGAAAAAAUGCUGGCCCUACAAGAAAAAUCGGUUGCUAUUAAAAUGGAAAAGCAUUUCAUCCAACAAUCAAAACACGAGAAUUAGACCACGAAAUAAAUUUGAGCUCAAAACCUUACGAAGAAAAUUAUUAUAAAACUUGGUACAUGAAAGUAUAUAUUUUUAGUUUUAAGCAUUUAAUAAUUUUUUUAAUUUAAUAGAGCUUUAUUUAUUUUUGAAUUUUAUUUAUUUAGUAUUUAAGAAAUGUGAUAAAAGCAACAAAC